rnacentral:lncRNA from 1 species
GUCUAGAGAAUGUUGGCAAGGUUUCUACUUUCAUAGAUAUUGUAAAGAGUCUUCUAUGCUUUCGCUAGUCCAUUAUAAGCAAUUACAUGUAAAAAAUUGGCAUCAUCCAAAUUUGAUGCAAUCAUGCCAUAAGCCUUCAUUUUACAACAUUUAUACUUCUUCUUCAUCUUGAUAUCAGCAUUAUCACUUGGAGGCUCUUCACUUUCAUCUACAAUGUCUCAUAGAUCUAAUGAAGCCAAAUAAAGCUGUAUUUUCUUCUUCCAAUGGUAGAAGUUGUCACCUCUAAAUUUCUCAAUCACUCUCAAACUUGCAUCUUCACUUAAAGCCAUGUCUAAGAAAAUGGUGUAUCAAAGGCAAUUAAGAAAAGAGAAUAAAGAGCUCUCAAAAUCAACAAGAAAGCAUUGCUGCCUAAGAAACCUAGAAUGCCCUCUUUGUAAAUAAAUAAGUGAUU